ACCGAAGUCGAUUGUAUUUGUUCGUAUAGGCAUGCUAGAUUAUUCAAGGAUCUGAUUCAGCUACGAGGAGCAUCAGGAUCCUAUCAGCGAGUGGUCAGCAUCGAUACGUCGAGUCUAUCUUACUGCGUAGGCAUGAUGGCCAUCCAUUCAGUACUAUGGCAUCAGCUAUUGGUCUGGGCAGUAGUCGCAGCUGACUAAAGAACAUGACGAGGCACCACCAGGAGUGGAGCUCGCUAAUUGACUCACACGGGAACCUGGCGAGGUCGGGCAUAGUAAGGAUGCAGCUCGAUAGCUCUUCAGAAUAUAAUAAAUGUGAGCAUGCCGAUCUAGUUGUCGAGUGAUUUCCUGUUCUUCUCUCUUUCUUUCUUUCGUCUGCUAUCGUCGUCCCCAUUUAUGGGCACGACUUCUUAGAGGGACUAUGCAUAUCAAGUGCAUGGAAGUUUGAGGCAAUAACAGGUCUCUGACGCCGUUAUAUGUCCUGAAAAAAAAAGCAAGCUACACUGAUGCAUACAACAAGUGCCUAGCUAGACAUAGUAUGGCAAAUCUGGAAUAUGCAUCGUGAUGGGGAUAGAUCUCUGCAAUUAUAGAUCUUGAACGAGGAAUUCCUAGUAAGUGCAAGUCAUCAUCUUGCAUUGAUUAUGUCCCUGCCCUUUGUACACACCGCCCGUCGCUCCUACCGAUACCGGGUGAUCAGGUGAACCUUAGGACCUUCAUCGAAAAAUAAGUAAACCAAUCACCAGAGGAAGGGAAGUCGAACUC
rnacentral:rRNA from 1 species